GCUGACGAGUGGCGGACGGGUGAGUAAUGUCUGGGAAACUGCCUGAUGGAGGGGGAUAACUACUGGAAACGGUGGCUAAUACCGCAUAACGUCGCAAGACCAAAGAGGGGGACCUUCGGGCCUCUUGCCAUCAGAUGUGCCCAGAUGGGAUUAGCUUGUUGGUGAGGUAACGGCUCACCAAGGCGACGAUCCCUAGCUGGUCUGAGAGGAUGACCAGCCACACUGGAACUGAGACACGGUCCAGACUCCUACGGGAGGCAGCAGUGGGGAAUAUUGCACAAUGGGCGCAAGCCUGAUGCAGCCAUGCCGCGUGUAUGAAGAAGGCCUUCGGGUUGUAAAGUACUUUCAGCGGGGAGGAAGGUGUUGUGGUUAAUAACCGCAGCAAUUGACGUUACCCGCAGAAGAAGCACCGGCUAACUCCGUGCCAGCAGCCGCGGUAAUACGGAGGGUGCAAGCGUUAAUCGGAAUUACUGGGCGUAAAGCGCACGCAGGCGGUCUGUCAAGUCGGAUGUGAAAUCCCCGGGCUCAACCUGGGAACUGCAUUCGAAACUGGCAGGCUUGAGUCUUGUAGAGGGGGGUAGAAUUCCAGGUGUAGCGGUGAAAUGCGUAGAGAUCUGGAGGAAUACCGGUGGCGAAGGCGGCCCCCUGGACAAAGACUGACGCUCAGGUGCGAAAGCGUGGGGAGCAAACAGGAUUAGAUACCCUGGUAGUCCACGCCGUAAACGAUGUCUACUUGGAGGUUGUGCCCUUGAGGCGUGGCUUCCGGAGCUAACGCGUUAAGUAGACCGCCUGGGGAGUACGGCCGCAAGGUUAAAACUCAAAUGAAUUGACGGGGGCCCGCACAAGCGGUGGAGCAUGUGGUUUAAUUCGAUGCAACGCGAAGAACCUUACCUGGUCUUGACAUCCACGGAAGUUUUCAGAGAUGGAUUGGUGCCUUCGGGAACCGUGAGACAGGUGCUGCAUGGCUGUCGUCAGCUCGUGUUGUGAAAUGUUGGGUUAAGUCCCGCAACGAGCGCAACCCUUAUCCUUUGUUGCCAGCGGUCCGGCCGGGAACUCAAAGGAGACUGCCAGUGAUAAACUGGAGGAAGGUGGGGAUGACGUCAAGUCAUCAUGGCCCUUACGACCAGGGCUACACACGUGCUACAAUGGCGCAUACAAAGAGAAGCGACCUCGCGAGAGCAAGCGGACCUCAUAAAGUGCGUCGUAGUCCGGAUUGGAGUCUGCAACUCGACUCCAUGAAGUCGGAAUCGCUAGUAAUCGUGGAUCAGAAUGCCACGGUGAAUACGUUCCCGGGCCUUGUACACACCGCCCGUCACACCAUGGGAGUGGGUUGCAAAAGAAGUAGGUAGCUUAACCUUCGGGAGGGCGCUUACCACUUUGUGAUUCAUGACUGGGGUGAAGUCGUAACAAGGUAACCGUAGGGGAACCUGCGGUUGGAUCACCUCCUUACCUUAAAGAAGC
rnacentral:rRNA from 1 species